CGAGUCGGCUAUGCGGCAGCGGCGCGGCUAUACGCGCUGAGGAAAGUCCGAGCAUCAUAGAGCAGGGUAGUUGAUAACGUCAACCGAGGGUGACCUCCGAGCUAGUGCAACAGAAAUAUACCGCCGCUUUCGGGCGGCAAGGGUGGAAAGGCGAGGUAAGAGCUCACCGGGGCAGUCGUGAGGCUGCCGCCAUGUAAACCUUACCCGAUGCAACGCCAAUGGCAGCAAGCAGACCAAUGGCUGCUCGUCAGGGCUGCGGCUGUAGGCGGCUGGAGGCGUAUGGCAACAUGCGUCCAAGAUAGAUUGCCGCACACGACAAAACUCGGCUUACAGGUCGGCUCGCGCU
rfam:Ruminococcus sp. CAG:579 genomic scaffold, scf184